UACGUAGGUGGCAAGUGUUGUCCGGAUUUACUGGGCGUAAAGAGCGCGCAGGCGGUCGUGCAAGUCGCGUGUGAAAGCCCCCGGCUCAACUGGGGAGGGUCACGCGAUACUGUUCGACUCGAAGGCAGGAGAGGGAAGCAGAAUUCCCGGUGUAGUGGUGAAAUGCGUAGAUAUCGGGAGGAAUACCAGUGGCGAAGGCGGCUUCCUGGCCUGUUCUUGACGCUGAGGCGCGAAAGCUAGGGUAGCAAACGGG
rnacentral:rRNA from 1 species